rnacentral:lncRNA from 1 species
ACUUAUAUAAACAACCACAAUGGCCCUGGCCCAAAGAGCCAUAAGUAGUGACAUUACGGUAAAGUGGGAAGACGCAAAACUCGUAAGGAAACAGGAAGAUCCCGUAAAAGGACGGAUAAUGGAGUCCCUUAUGGUAUUUGAUAGUAAAAACUCAAGAUCAAAAGUGAUUAACAAACUGGACCCAACACUGAUUAGUAACGCAUGGAAGUCCUGUAUACCACCUGGAUAGUCGAACGUAAUUUGCGUUGUGUUGAUAUUUCAAGUAAUGUGCUUGCGUUAUAUUUUGUUUUUGGGCAAUUAAUUUAGUUCAAAUAACCUUUUUAUGUGUUUAUUUAUUUUCAUUAUGUUAAUUAUAUUAGAUUUAGCAUUUUAGUUGUUGUCAUGGUUACUGCGAAUUUGGGGAAUUGUUCUUCG